CAGCUUUUCGAGCUGUGUCCCUUUGCGUGAAGGCUGGGCGGCGAUAGAACGUUUCCGUGGACCAGAGUCGUGGCUGUUGUCUGUGUUAACAUUUGUGUAAAAUAAGAUGCCCAUAAAAGUUGACUUGAACACUGAGGAGGAAAAAUUAAAUAUUUAAAUUUGAACUGACAUGGACACAAACAAUGGUCACCGAGUCCCGAAACAGGUUGUGGGAGACCCUUGAGGCGUUCAUCCAGCGCUGUUUCGAGAAAUCUCUAUUUCAGUCUAUUCCCAUACGUUAGUUAUUGAAAAACAACAAUCGCAAAAACAAGUUGACCUUUUUGUGUUCCUUGAGCCCAGUCGCAAAGGGCCCUCGUGACUGGGCCUCCUGCCAGACAACACGUUACAAAAAGAGCUAGGGUCCCAGACCACGCCAAAAAGCUUCAUGAGACCUCUCCUCGUCUGUGCCCUGACGAGUGGCCGGCUCUGGAGCCCAGGCCGUUGCUUCCCAGUCUGCAGGUGAAUCCUCCAUAGUCUGGUGAGUGUAAAAAAAAAAAAAAAAAAAUAUAAUAUAUAUAUAUAUAUAUAUAUAUAUGUCUUUUUCCUUCUCCUCUUCCCAUUGCAAUUUGCUUAUUAUAUCAAUUUGAUUAUUAUAUUAAUUUGCUCAUUAUAAUAUCUGCAUUGCCAUUUACGUGGGAUAAAGCUUGCUUACCCUUAAA
rnacentral:lncRNA from 1 species